rnacentral:rRNA from 1 species
UACGAAGGGUGCUAGCGUUGCUCGGAAUCACUGGGCGUAAAGGGUGCGUAGGCGGGUCUUUAUGUCAGGGGUGAAAUCCUGGAGCUCAACUCCAGAACUGCCUUUGAUACUGAAGAUCUUGAGUUCGGGAGAGGUGAGUGGAACUGCGAGUGUAGAGGUGAAAUUCGUAGAUAUUCGCAAGAACACCAGUGGCGAAGGCGGCUCACUGGCCCGAUACUGACGCUGAGGCACGAAAGCGUGGGGAGCAAACAGG